UAUGCAGUAAAAAGCCUAUAAUAUCAGUUCAGAUAUAAAGCAGUGAACUGGCUCCAGACCUCUAGAACUCCUGGCCAGCUUCCUCGGCAGGUUUGCUCCAGUCCUUCACUAACUUUGAAAAAACAUAACCUUGAAAUUUUUGUAAAGUAAAUUUCUUGGACCACACUUAUGGUAGAUUUUUAACAUUAUCUAUCUAUCUAUACAUUUGCUUCUAUGGGCAUGGAAUAGGUAUGGAAGGAGUUUCAAAUAUUUAUUGAUUGUGGUAGAAAGGCAAUGACUGCUUACCAGAUGGCAUGUAGAGGGCAGGGAGGGAAGGUGAGUCAGACUUCAUGGAAUAUCUUUUUAUAGUUUUUAAAUUUGGAAACAAGACUUUGCAGACGCCGCUGCCUUGAGCCUUUUCCUAUCAGCCAUGGUCAACCCCACCGUGUUCUUCGACAUCGCUGUCUACUGCGAGCAUUGGCUGUCUACAGCGAGCCUUUGGGCCGCAUCUCCUUCAAGCUGUUUGCAGACAAAGUUCCAAGGACAGCAGAAAACUUUCGUGCUCUGAGCACUGGAGAGAAAGGGUUCGGUUAUAAGGGUUCCUGCUUUCACAGAAUUAUUCCAGGGUUUAUGUGCCAGGGUGGUGACUUUACACGCCAUAAUGGCACUGGCGGCAAGUCCAUCUAUGGGGAGAAAUUUGAUGAUGAGAACUUCAUCUUGAAGCAUACAGGUCCCGGCAUCUUGUCCAUGGCAAAUGCUGGACUCAACACAAAUGGUUCCCAGUUUUUCAUCUGCACUACUAAAACUGAAUGGUUGGAUGGCAAGCAUGUGGUUUUUGGCAAGGUGAAAGAGGGCAUGAAUGUUGUGCAACCCAUGGAGGGCUUUGGGUCCAAGAAUGGAAAGACCAGCAAGAAGAUCACCAUUGCUGACUGUGGACAACUCUAAUAAAUUUGACUUGUUUUAUCUUAAACUACCAGAUCAUUCCUUCUGUAGCUCAGGAGAGCACCCUCUCCAUCCCGUUUGCUCGCAGUAUCUU